CGUCGUUUGUUAGUGUGUUUCAUGGGAUUUUCUCGUUUCUAUAUAUAGAUUAUACCGUUGGUUUUCCUGUUGGCAUUGUUUUCCACUAGUAAUUAUUGGGCUAUUCAUAGCUUGUUGUUGUUCAGCCAAACCUUCGUGUUGAGGGCCGUUAUUUUAUCUGUACUUGUUAAUUUUUUAUAUAUUGUGACUUGGAUGGAAUGUUGUCACUCAUACAACAUCUUCUUAUUUAUAUUUACUUUUCUAUCAUAUAGUAUGCUGACAUAUCAAUGAAAUUAUGCAUUGUCAAUUACAGACAAUUGUCUAAAAAUUAUAGACAAAAAAAUGUAUCAAUAUGAAAUAA
rnacentral:lncRNA from 1 species